CGGCAGCCCAGGGUUCGCCGGUUGGGCUCCCGGGUGCAGACAUGGCACCGCUUGGCUAAGCCAUACUGUGUUACCAAGACUCCCUGGGUGGCAGCAAAAAAGUCAACAAGGAAAUAAAACUCCACCACCUGGCGUAUUAGUUGGGGAUAAAGCUAUACACAGAUUGAGCAUGAAUUAUUUGCAUCAACUGUAGAAAGCAAUUCAUGAACAAAGAAAAGUCCACAGUUUGGGAGAAUAGACCAGAAUAUGAGAGAGGAGGCAAAACACAUCAUAUUCUUGGGAAGGAAGAUGGCAGAAGCUGCAUUGGAAAACAGUCAGCUCUAUCCUUUGGCCAUAGCAUCCUGAAAAGAAGAGAAAUCUGAAAGCAUUCUACACCCACAGCGAGCAGCAAGCAGGCCUUCUUCUGAAUUAGCAGUCCCCAUCAUGUGAGGACACACAGCAGUUUCCUCCAGCAGAAUCACCAAGCCCUGCAGCAACCUCAGGAGCCAAGAGUGAGAAGAUCUCCUCGUCAGGGUGCAUGUAGGGGUGUGAAUUAAGUGAUAGUGGGAUUUCUGCUUAUUAUGGGACCCCGAGAGACCCUGGGACACAUGGGGACUUCGGUUAUUCUCACCCACCUACUGCAGAACUGAAAACAUUGGAUUGUUUUGUGAUUUUCUCUCUAAAUUUAACUUUAUUCAGACACACUGUAGUUAAGGCUUAUAAAGAGUCCAGUCUUUCAGUACAUUUCCAGGAUGGCAGCUAAAGCCAAGAAGGAAGCAAUCGCCCUCCACCUUCACCCCAUAGAAUAAGGUUACCUGCCCCUCCGUUCUGAAAACUGGUGGACUCCAAAGUUAAGCUUGUCAGAGCCUUCCUGCUUCGAGGCCUCCACAUCUCUUCCAGGCGGCUGCUGGACCUCAUCAGUCAGCUCAGUUUUACCCAAAUCUCAAGGGUCAAUCUCUACCGAUCUGGGAAGAAUUUACGCAGUUUUCAU
rnacentral:lncRNA from 1 species